CACUAUUUCUCGAGUUGACAUGUGACACUCUGAUCUGACCAUAAUAUUUGAUUAAAAUUACUUGGCAUUUGAUGCUUCAUAUUCUAGCAAACAUCCAGUGAUCUACAAUUGCAAACUGUAAAGAGAUUUGAUGCCCGGACAUCGAUUUGACGAAAGAAGAAAAAAUGCCUUGGUCUUUUUGUUCUCUCUUCUUUUUCCACAGUGAGGAGGAAAGAAAAAUGCCCAGGAUUAUCUUGUGGACAGCAAAGUUGAUUUCAUGUGCUUUGUUGUCUGCUUAUUUUCAAAUCCCUUGGAAACAGUGUCAGAACCUGAAAUCACUCUCCUUAAACCUGCAAUUCUCUAUGUCGCAAGUCAUUUUCAGCUUCAUACUUUUGAGGAAAGAAAAAUGCCCAGGAUUAAUGCCCGGACAUCGAUUUGACGAAAGAAGAAAAAAUGCCUUGGUCUUUUUGUUCUCUCUUCUUUUUCCACAGUGAGGAGGAAAGAAAAAUGCCCAGGAUUAUCUUGUGGACAGCAAAGUUGAUUUCAUGUGCUUUGUUGUCUGCUUAUUUUCAAAUCCCUUGGAAACAGUGUCAGAACCUGAAAUCACUCUCCUUAAACCUGCAAUUCUCUAUGUCGCAAGUCAUUUUC
rnacentral:lncRNA from 1 species